GGGCCUUCAGCCAAACGGCCAAGGUCGAAUUACUGCGCAUAUCACAACUUCCCUAUCCUUUCUAUAAACCACCCAACUUACUAUAUACACCUCCCACCGUAUACUCCUUUCUUCUUCUCACCCUAAAAAAGCUCUUUUUAAGCUCUUAGCAAUGGCCCAUUAUCAAGGCCGGCCGUGUGUUCCGUCCCACACACACUUACCACACACAUUACAUACACGUUUAUUGAUAGUAUAGUAGCUAGACGGAACGUAUACCUAUUAGUACGAUGUCUUUCCAUGCAGAGCCAUCUGGCGGAUGUGAUGAUCGGGACCGCGUGGCGUGAAUGCUGUUUAGGAAAGGGGGGGAGGGGGGAAGAAAAGGCGCCAUGGCGCUAGUUGCUAUGUCACCUCAUGGCCUUCCGAAAUUUUUGGACUAGAUAUUGGCACAUCGGCCGAAACGGGAAGUACACUGGUUUUCAUGACAUGUGACUGGGCCACUAUUUCGCCAUUCAACGCGCAUCGUUGCUGAUGGGUUUUUCGUAUUCACUGGCUGACGUUAGGACUCCAGACAUCGUGGCGCCACUCUACUACAUAAUUUUCUGUCUUCAA